rnacentral:rRNA from 1 species
GUGCAUUCAGUCGUAUGCUGACCUGCGAUUACUAGCGAUUCCUGCUUCAUGCAGGCGGGUUGCAGCCUGCAAUCCGAACUGGGACUCUGUUUUUGGGGUUUGCUCCGGAUCGCUCCUUCGCGUCCCUCUAUUGAGAGCCAUUGUAGUACGUGUGUAGCCCAAGCCAUAAGGGGCAUGAUGACUUGACGUCAUCCCCGCCUUCCUCCGCAUUGUCCGCGGCAGUCUCUCCGGAGUCCCCACCCUUACGUGCUGGUAACAAAAAAUAGGGGUUGCGCUCGUUGCGGGACUUAACCCAACAUCUCACGACACGAGCUGACGACAGCCGUGCACCACCUGUUUUCUUGUCCUCCGAAGAGGAAAAAGGCAUCUCUGCCUCGUUCAAUCAAUGUCAAGGCUUGGU